rnacentral:Y_RNA from 1 species
AGUUGGUCCAAGUGCCAGUGGUGUUUACAACUCAUUGAUCGCAACCAGUUACAGAUUCCUUUGUUCCUUCUGCACUCCCACUGCUUCACUUGGCCAGCCUCUA